UGCUUCACUCUGAUGACGACCGGCGGAUGGGUGAGUAACACGUGGGUGAUCUGCCUUGCACUUCGGGAUAAGCUUGGGAAACUGGGUCUAAUACCGGAUAGGACAGCUGUUUAGUGUCAGUUGUGGAAAGUUUUUUCGGUGCAAGAUGAGCUCGCGGCCUAUCAGCUUGUUGGUGGGGUAAUGGCCUACCAAGGCGUCGACGGGUAGCCGGCCUGAGAGGGUGUACGGCCACAUUGGGACUGAGAUACGGCCCAGACUCCUACGGGAGGCAGCAGUGGGGAAUAUUGCACAAUGGGCGGAAGCCUGAUGCAGCGACGCCGCGUGGGGGAUGAAGGCCUUCGGGUUGUAAACUCCUUUCGACAGGGACGAAGCGUAAGUGACGGUACCUGUAUAAGAAGCACCGGCUAACUACGUGCCAGCAGCCGCGGUAAUACAUAGGGUGCGAGCGUUGUCCGGAAUUACUGGGCGUAAAGAGCUCGUAGGUGGUUUGUCGCGUCGUCUGUGAAAUUCCGGGGCUUAACUCCGGGCGUGCAGGCGAUACGGGCUGACUUGAGUGCUGUAGGGGAGACUGGAAUUCCUGGUGUAGCGGUGAAAUGCGCAGAUAUCAGGAGGAACACCGAUGGCGAAGGCAGGUCUCUGGGCAGUAACUGACGCUGAGGAGCGAAAGCAUGGGUAGCGAACAGGAUUAGAUACCCUGGUAGUCCAUGCCGUAAACGGUGGGCGCUAGGUGUAGGGGGCUUCCACGUCUUCUGUGCCGUAGCUAACGCAUUAAGCGCCCCGCCUGGGGAGUACGCCGCAA
rnacentral:rRNA from 1 species